AUUGAACGCUGGCGGCAUGCUUUACACAUGCAAGUCGAACGGUAACAGGCCGCAAGGUGCUGACGAGUGGCGAACGGGUGAGUAAUGCAUCGGAACGUGCCCAGUCGUGGGGGAUAACGCAGCGAAAGCUGUGCUAAUACCGCAUACGAUCUAUGGAUGAAAGCGGGGGACCGUAGGCCUCGCGCGAUUGGAGCGGCCGAUGUCAGAUUAGGUAGUUGGUGGGGUAAAGGCCCACCAAGCCAACGAUCUGUAGCUGGUCUGAGAGGACGACCAGCCACACUGGGACUGAGACACGGCCCAGACUCCUACGGGAGGCAGCAGGGGGGAAUUUUGGACAAUGGGCGCAAGCCUGAUCCAGCAAUGCCGCGUGCAGGAAGAAGGCCUUCGGGUUGUAAACUGCUUUUGUACGGAACGAAAAGGUCUGGGUUAAUACCCUGGGCCGAUGACGGUACCGUAAGAAUAAGCACCGGCUAACUACGUGCCAGCCGCCGCGGUAA
rnacentral:rRNA from 1 species